rnacentral:rRNA from 1 species
UACGUAGGGGGCUAGCGUUGUCCGGAAUCAUUGGGCGUAAAGCGCGUGUAGGCGGUCCGGUAAGUCUGCUGUGAAAGUCGGGGGCUCAACCCUCGAAUGCCGGUGGAUACUGUCGGGCUAGAGUGCGGAAGAGGCGAGUGGAAUUCCUGGUGUAGCGGUAAAAUGCGCAGAUAUCAGGAGGAACACCUAUUGCGAAGGCAGCUCGCUGGGACGUAACUGACGCUGAGACGCGAAAGCGUGGGGAGCAAACAGG